AUUGAACGCUGGCGGCAGGCCUAACACAUGCAAGUCGAGCGGAUGAAGGGAGCUUGCUCCUGGAUUCAGCGGCGGACGGGUGAGUAAUGCCUAGGAAUCUGCCUGGUAGUGAGGGAUAACGUCCGGAAACGGGCGCUAAUACCGCAUACGUCCUGAGGGAGAAAGUGGGGGAUCUUCGGACCUCACGCUAUCAGAUGAGCCUAGGUCGGAUUAGCUAGUUGGUGGGGUAAAGGCCUACCAAGGCGACGAUCCGUAACUGGUCUGAGAGGAUGAUCAGUCACACUGGAACUGAGACACGGUCCAGACUCCUACGGGAGGCAGCAGUGGGGAAUAUUGGACAAUGGGCGAAAGCCUGAUCCAGCCAUGCCGCGUGUGUGAAGAAGGUCUUCGGAUUGUAAAGCACUUUAAGUUGGGGGGAAGGGCAGUAAGUUAAUACCUUGCUGUUUUGACGUUACCAACAGAAUAAGCACCGGCUAACUUCGUG
rnacentral:rRNA from 1 species